rnacentral:misc_RNA from 1 species
AACCCUCUCACAAAACAACUUUAUUGUUGCUUUUUUUGUGGAUGUUGAGUGUUGCUAUAUAUUUAUAGCUCACUUUAAAUAUAUAAGUCACACUUUUCAAGUAAGUUGGAUUGACUUGGUGUAAUAAUUUUAUCAUCACAUCAAGGAAAGUAGCAAUACUUGCCAUCUUUUGAAAGGAGGGACUCCUAAAAAACCCCUCAUAACCUUUUU